rnacentral:rRNA from 1 species
AGUGAACGCUGGCGGUAGGCCUAACACAUGCAAGUCGAACGGCAGCACAGAGGAGCUUGCUCCUUGGGUGGCGAGUGGCGGACGGGUGAGGAAUACAUCGGAAUCUACUCUGUCGUGGGGGAUAACGUAGGGAAACUUACGCUAAUACCGCAUACGACCUACGGGUGAAAGCAGGGGACCUUCGGGCCUUGCGCGAUUGAAUGAGCCGAUGUCGGAUUAGCUAGUUGGCGGGGUAAAGGCCCACCAAGGCGACGAUCCGUAGCUGGUCUGGGAGGAUGAUCAGCCACACUGGAACUGGGACACGGUCCAGGCUCCUACGGGAGGCAGCAGUGGGGAAUAUUGGACAAUGGGCGCAAGCCUGAUCCAGCCAUACCGCGUGGGUGAAGAAGGCCCUCGGGUUGUAAAGCCCUUUUGUUGGGAAAGAAAUCCAGCUGGCUAAUACCCGGUUGGGUUGACCGUACCCAAGGAAUAAGCACCGGCUAACUUCGUGCCAGCCGCCGCCGUAA